GGAUUAGAUACCCUGGUAGUCCACGCCGUAAACGAUGUCGACUAGCCGUUGGGGUCCUUGAGGCUUUAGUGGCGCAGCUAACGCGAUAAGUCGACCGCCUGGGGAGUACGGCCGCAAGGUUAAAACUCAAAUGAAUUGACGGGGGCCCGCACAAGCGGUGGAGCAUGUGGUUUAAUUCGAAGCAACGCGAAGAACCUUACCAGGUCUUGACAUCCUCGGAACUUUGCAGAGAUGCAUGGGUGCCUUCGGGAACCGAGUGACAGGUGCUGCAUGGCUGUCGUCAGCUCGUGCCG
rnacentral:rRNA from 1 species